AGAUUUGGAACUGAUCGGCACCGCUUCCGUACGUAGUGGCCAGACUUUCCCAUAAGUCCUGUGCCGUUGCGUAUUGGGAUACCUCGUUCACGAGGCUGGCGUCGAUGUUGCUUAUAAUCCAGUUGAAGCAACAAUCAUCUCGUUGCUGCCAUCGAUCGAAGUGUGGGUCAGUCGGUGGAGGGGGGUCUGUAACUCCGGAUAUGUGAGACGCCAGACCUUUUCCACCGAUGGCUCGUCUCAUCAGUUUUACCCAUAGGUGGUAAUUAUCCCCAUUGAGUUUGUCCGUCAGGCGCACCUCGCCUAACGAUUCCAGGGACGAAGGUUUCAAAAGGUCGAGGAAGGUACUCGAGACUGUGAUGAUAUUUUUCUGAGUCUCAAGCCCGAAUAAACCUGCUCUGAUACCAUC